AUGCGAUCACCUGCGACUGCUACUAACGUUACUCCUAGUCCAUCAUCAUCUGCUCAGUGGGCUGCCUCAGCCCCCCUCAGAGCCACUGCCUCUAAAACAUUUCAAAGAUCGGUUUUUCUUGCUGAGGUGGUUGGUGGGAGGCUGAGUCCCAGCAGAAUGGUGGUGGUCCGGUUUUUGGAAUCUGAGGCUACCCUUCAGGGGAUAAUCGGUAAAGUUCAAGAUGCCAUUGGAUGUCAUGACCCAAUGGUAUUGACUGAUAUGCAGGGGAAUGCAAUUUUGGAGUCUGAAGGCACAACUGGGUCCCAGUACUGGAAACAAAAUGCUAGAAAGAUUCUUGCUAUACAAGAACAGGCCUUCCAGGAGGUACAGGGCUCUAAAAGGAGGAGAAUGAGCCGAAAAGAUGAAGAUGCUGCUGGAAUUGGAGAGGUCACUGAGAAGAUAGAAGAGCUUGUACUGGCAUCACAGACCUUACCAGAUAUCACUGCAGCAAUCAGAGAGCUCACCAAUCUAGCUGCCACUCAAAGAGUGAUCCUGACUCCUUCCCAGCUACAGACCAUCAAGCAAGGAUUCUGCUGUGUUAUUUGUAUGAAAUUCAUCGAGGAGCCAGUCUUCACAGAGUGUUGCCGGAGCAUUAUUGGCUGCAAAACAUGUGUGGUACAGUGGCAGGAGACCUCUGUGCACUGUGCAAAAUGUAGAGGGAACACUGCAAACAGCACCAUAUUUGAAAUUAAUGGUCUGUCAGAGACAUUUUCUGUUCUGAGAUCCCUUUUUGAAGAGGAGUAACAUGUUGAAUUUUUACACAAACAAAUUUAAAGUUAACAGUCUUCAAGUUAAAUAGAGCUAAUGGCUUUUCACACAUUGCACUGAGUUGUGGUUAUAAGACAGAGCAAUGCCUGUUUGUAUGGGGCAAAGUCAUUGUUCACUGCUCUAGAGUACAGUUCUGAAUAAUGCUCGGCAAACUGGUUCUCAACUGUAAUCUUGUCCUGUUCAGUUGAAAAUGGAUCAACUCCAAAAGUUGAAUGCCUGGUCAGUGAUGAUCCCAGCUGUUGGCUGUAAAGGUCUGCUGCUUCAGCUGAAUGAGGCAACAGCUCCUGUUGGAUUUUUUUGGGACACCCACGGCCAGCCAAGUCAUUUGGUGUUCCUUUACCUGUAAAAUAAAGAACAUACUGUUGGCA
ensembl:lncRNA